UUCCCCUCUCUCUAAAAUUAAUGAAAACAUAUCCUUGGAUGAGGAUUAAAAAAACUUUAAACCUGGAUUUACUGUUUUGUGAGCAUACAUUUCUUUAUAUUUUCUCUUUCCCAACAUUUGUUUUUCCUUUUUUCUCUCUAGCUGCCUCUUCGAGAAAUUCUUAGUUUCUCAAUGUUUUAUGUUAAAUAUCCAACAUGUAGUACUAACUACAUAAAUACUAGUUUCUCUAGUCAUCCGACUUCUGGUUCAGGCAGUUACUCGGGAUGUUUUGUACUAAACUUUUUUAAAGAGAGCUUUCAUUUUGGAGUAAUUUUAGAUUACGGGCAAGUUGCAAAAAUAGUGCAGAGUUCUUGUACACCCUUUACCCAGUUUCAGUUUCCCCGAUGCAUUGCCCUGUGGGACAUUUGUCAGAACGGCCGUCUCCGUCGGCACAUUAUUGUUAACUGAACACCAGACUGCAUGCAGACCGCACUGGCUCAUCUGUUAAUGUCCUCUUCGGUUCCUGUGUCCAGUCCACAACACCACGUUGCACUCGGUCGUCCAGUCUCCUUCGUGUCCUCUCGUCUCCGGCAGAUUCUCAGUCUCUCCUUGUCUUUCAUGACCUUGGCAGUUUGAAGGAGUACUGGGAAGGUGUUUUGUAGAAUGUUCCUCAGACUGACUUUGUUGGAAGUAUUAUUGGGUAUCCAGAAUUAGACCGGAGUUGCGUGUUUGCAGAAAGAUUAACGCAGAGGCACAGUGCGCCUCUCAUCGCUUAUCUGUGGGCAUGUGAGGGCCACGUGCUGGCACCAGUGAUACGAGCUAGCCUGCAGAAGUGUGCCCCGAUCGGAAGGGCACAGUUCAGUGAGUUAUGAUGUGAACACACCCGCUGCGGCACCCUCCAAGUCAAGAGGUUGAACAACAGUCUAUACCCAGAACCCUCCCUUUUUCUCAGGGGUAACCGCCCUCCUGAUGGCUAAUAUCACUGAGUAGUUUUCUCUCUUUUUGAUCUAAUCAUAUGAUUAAGUAUGUGUUUUUUGUGAAUUAUUUCCUUUUUUGUGAGAUUCAACUGUGUUGUCUGUAACAGUGGUUUAUUUUUGUUGCCGUGUGGUGCUCUGUUAUAUGAGUAGACUACAUAUUAUAUGUUUAUUCUACGGUUGAUGGGUAUUUGGGUUAUUUCUAGUUUUGGGCUAUUACAUAUAAUGCCAGUGUAAAAGAAUUGUAAAUAAUACAAAUGUAAAUCAUUUUUGGUGUACAUACAAGCAUAUUUCUAUCAGGUAAAUACCUAGGAUUGAGUUUGCUGGGUUAUAGAGUGUACUUAUAUAUUAAAUUUAAAAAACUGUUAUUUUUUCAAAGUGGUUCUGUAAUAGAGUAGGUCACAGCAUAGACAGCGCUGGCAGUGUGACUUGUGGAAUAGCCUGGGGUACAGAUGGGGAGCUCAUACAGCAUCUGUGUGAGGUGCGGGGCCAGAUGCCCAUGCUGGAUGCCUGUGAAUGGCUGGAAACUCUUGCCCUGACUAGAGAUGGCAGCCUGAAGAGGGUCAGAGACCCUGGGGAGCUGCAAAAAUGAUGGACAUUAAUGCACCAUAGAAGACCGGAUAUUCAGCCACGCAGGAAAUUCUGAGCCGAGGCUUUAAAAUUGUAGCACUCGGAGAAACACAAGCUCAGUCUAUCGUAGGUCUGUCUGUUUGGAGGUCUGGAGGUCCAUUGGAAACACCCUCAGUGCCCUUCCUACACAGAAGACAGCGGCAGAGCUGGUGGUGCUGUGGGGGACCAGCCUGGCCCAGCACACAGACACACUGGUGAGCUGCUGGCUGGAGUAAAGGCAGCUCUGGAGGAGAGACACCGAUGCUGUGAGAGGGACUCAGGCCGGUGCACACAGACUCCUGAAAGAUGCUUGGAACUGAACUGUGACCGGGAAUGCUGAGCUGCAGACUUCUGCAUUUCUGAAGGAUAGUGCUUUUGAAUGGCCUGUUCUGAAACUGGUCUGGCUUGGCAGAGGGAAGCAGGGCUUCUUUUGGGGGUGUUUCUAUAGAGAAUGGGACUUAGCAGCAAGGCUCUCACUCUCUCAUGCACUAGGUAUAGGGACUCUUGGUAUGGGACUUUGGAGUUUGGUACAAGCUCUCUCCCUCUGGCUUUGGCAUUUGGAUAUUCUGGACUUCUGGCCCUGCUUUCCACAAAGAUGGGAGCACUUGUGGAAACAGGAGAUGUGGGGCCCACCAGGGCCUUAGACCCCAAAGAGGAGGGAAGCCCACUCCUGGAGGCAGGGUCCCAUGCAGGGACAUGUGCCUCCCUUGGGUUCCAGCACCUGGGACACUGUCAUCCAGUGCAGCACGGCACAUGGUUUUCGGAUGGCUUCAUGGAGGAGGCUGGGAGCAGCGCACCCCAGACCCUGAAGGAGAGAGCUGCUGCGAGAGGAUGGCGACUCUGAAACCCACAGGUGCACAUGCCGGAGAGGAUGGAGAUCUUUGUGUGAGACCUGCUUAAGGACAGAUGAGGAAAUGGAGAACUUCUAGGUGUGGUUUUGGCUUGCAGCCUUUUGGGGAACAAGGGCAGUUCUGGGUCUUGUGGGAGACAAGGGCUCCGAGCAGGGAGGGCUCUCAGCCCCUCCAGGUUUGGAACCCUGUUAAUAAAAACCUGUUUUCUUCGACACGAGUUGUUGGGUCACAUAGAUUCAAGGUGCCAGGUGGCUGAAACCCAAAUUUGCAUGGUUACAGUUCUGCCACUUUACAUUCCUACAAGCACUUUAAUGUCAUUCUUUGUGUUUUAGCCUUUUUAAUGGUGUGUAGUGCUGUUUUAAUUUGCAUUUCCUGGAGCAUGUAGUAGACUAAUGAAGGUUUUAUUUCUAGCUUUCCAAUCUUUGUCAUUUUUUUUUUUUCCUACCUUAUCGCACUGGGUAGGGCCUUUGGUACAGUGUUGCAUAAAUAGGAUGGUGGUGCGCACCCAUAUCUUUCUGGUUGCAGGAAGAAAGCUUUCAACAUUUCUCCUUUAGAGACAGUGUUUGCUGUAGGUUUUUUGUAGAUACUUUAUCAAAUUGAAGAAAGUACCUUCUGCUAGUAGUUUAAGGAGAGAAUUUUAGGAGCAUUAUUUACAACAGCCAAGAGUUGGAAACAGACUAAGUGCCCAUCCGUAGAUGAGUUGAUUAAAGAACCGUGGUACAUUUGCAAAAUGGAAUACUGCAUGGCAGGAAAAAAGAAGGAAUUCCUACCUUUUGUGACAGCAUGAAUGAAACUGGAGACUAUUGUGCUAAGUGAAAUAAGCCAAUCGAUGAAAGA